rnacentral:snoRNA from 1 species
GAGGUUACAUGAUGAAUUAGACGCUAUCAAUCAAACAGUUAUCCCUGUCUGAACACAUAAUGUUGAGAGAUGCCUACUCUGAUCACCUU